UUCAAGAAUUUGAAGACUUUAACUUGCAGACUCGAAGAAUUUGAAGACUUCAACUUGUAGACUUGAAAAAUUUGAAGACUUCAACU
rnacentral:pre_miRNA from 1 species